UGAAGCCCCAGACAACUUAGCUCCUAGGAUAAUUGGGAGACACAAACCCCUCCACCACGAUAAGGUGACGGCUCAAGGAGGGGCUUCAUAAAACAACUUGAACGGCAAAAUAGGGUCACCAGGAGCAACGAACAUGAACAAGGCAGCUCUACAGUGGAUAUGAAAAGACUACACUACACACCCUUGAUGGCGGCCUAGCAGCAUGAAAUAUAUGGACACCGGAAAUUCGUACGCCACCAAAUCCUUCCACCGGAAAUGCCGAAUACGCUGCCGUGCGUGUGGCCAAUUGUGAAAUAAAACCGUGUUUCUUUCUCGAGUCGGAAAAGCUCUGUUAUUUGAGAAUGGACUUUGCAAGAGAGGAAGAACCGGAGCCCAUAAGGCUCAAAUCGAUGAGGAAACAAGUUUUCGCAGUGCCCAAAAAUGAUAGGUUUGGGAGGUGCAGAAGUGUUCGAGGGUUUGAAAAGCUCAACCGAAUAGGGGAAGGAACCUAUGGCAUUGUUUACCGUGCUCGUGACACCAACUCUGAUGAAAUUGUUGCAUUGAAGAAGGUUCGGAUGGAUAAAGAAAAAGAUGGGAUUCCCAUCAGCAGCCUCAGAGAGAUAACCCUGUUGCUGCGGCUCCGACAUCCCAACAUAGUGGAUCUGAAGGAGGUGGUUGUGGGCAGUCACCUUGAAAGUCUGUUUCUGGUGAUGAGCUACUGUGAGCAGGACUUGGCUAGUCUGCUGGAGAACAUACAGACACCAUUCUCUGAAGCUCAGGUGAAAUGUAUCAUACUGCAGUUGUUGAGAGGGUUGCGCUAUCUCCAUCACAAUUUCAUCAUUCACAGGGACCUAAAGGUGUCUAAUCUGCUGAUGACAGACAAAGGCUGUGUUAAAAUAGCUGAUUUUGGAUUGGCUCGCAUGUAUGGCGUCCCCCAACAACCCAUGACACCUAGGGUGGUUACAUUGUGGUACAGAGCUCCAGAGCUCCUCUUAGGAAGCAAAACCCAGACUACAGCUCUGGAUAUGUGGGCUGUAGGUUGUAUCCUGGCUGAGCUGUUGGCGCACAAACCUCUACUGCCUGGAACAUCUGAGAUCCAGCAGCUCGAUCUGAUAGUUCAGUUAUUGGGGACGCCUAAUGAAAACAUCUGGCCGGGUUUUUCUGAUCUACCGCUCACUGGGCAGUACACUCUGAGGAAGCAGCCCUACAAUAACCUGAAGAAUAAAUUCACUUGGUUGUCUGAAGCUGGACACAGGCUGCUCAAUCUGCUCUUCAUGUACCAUCCACAGCGCAGGAGUUUGACAGCUGGGUGCGUUGAGGUGCAGUCGUUCUUGUAGAGAGAGAAAAGCAGCGGAGAGAGGACACAUCCUUGGGGCGCCCCGGUGCCGAUGGUGCAUGUAGAUGAGGUCGUGUCCACCAGCCUCACCUGCUGUGCCCUGCCCGUCAGGAAGCUGUGAAUCUACUGAGAGAUGGGAGGCGAGACGCUGAGCUGGAUAAGCUUAGAGGAGAGGAUUUCGGGGAUGAUGGUGUUGAACACAGAGCUGUAGUCCACGAACAGGAUCCUCGCGUAGGUCCCCGCGCUGUCGAGAUGUUCUAGGAUGAAGUGCAGUCCCAUGUUGACUCACUUGGUUAACAUACCUAUUUGCUCGGUAGGCAAACUGCAGGGGUCCUGUGACGCUCUUGACAUGUUCCAGCACGAGGUGUUCAAAAGACUUCAUGACAACAGAUGUCAGGGCGGCAGGCCUGUAGUCAUUCAGACCUGAGAUUGCAGGUUUGAAACAGGAUGGUUGGUACGUCACACAGUUACAGAGAUCUAUUGAAGAUCUCUGUGAAAACUGGAGCAAGCUGGAAGACGGGAGCAAGAUGGUCCACGCAGACUUUGAGGCAGGAUGGGGACACAAGGUCUGGGCCUGUCACUUUGUUGAUAUUUUGUUGUUUGAAUAUACGUCUCACAUCCUGUUCAUGGAUGGUCAAUGCAGAAGGGGGACUCAGAGGUGUGAUGGUGGCCGGUGGUACGGUUGGGUGGGUGUGGGGUGUGAAAGUGUCCUUUUCAAAUCUGGAAUAGGUGUUCAAGUCGUCAGCCAGCCCUUUAUUUUUCUCCGUUUGGGGGGGAUGGUCGCUUGUAGUUGUUUAGUGAUUGUAAUCCAUGCCAGACUGGCUUAGUCGUUAGCAGUGAACAGUUUUUCUGCAUACUUUCUCUUUGCGAUGUUAAUUUCUUUUGUCAGCUGGUUUCUAGCUCGAUUGUACAAUGCUCUGUCCCCACUUCAAUAGGCGUCCUCUUCAGCCUGGCGAAGUUGUUGAAGUUUGGCCGUGAACAAUGGCUUGUUGUUAUUGAAUGUGCGAAAUGUCUUUGUUGGUACACACACAUUCACCUUCGUGACCAAAAGGGGGGAGCUGGACCAUUUUCCCGCUUUGCAUUGUCCCACACCUCUCCUCUUUAAUACCUGUAACAAAUGUUUCAAGUGUUAUGUGAUUGUUGAGAACACUGUAAUAUUUGCAAGGUGACAUUUGUGUGAUGUGGAGUGAAACAUUUAAUCUGGUUCAGUUGACAACAGAUUCGACAUCAGACAUUCAAGUUUGUAGAAAUCCAGUCCCUAGUGGCGUUCAUGUAAAGUUCUUAAAAUAUUAAAUCCCAGCCAAGUCCGGUAAAGACUGUGGUUAAUGAAUAAUGAACCUGCGUCUGCAGUGGCGAUCCAUCGCCUGUGGGUUUCGCAAGCAACCCAUCCAGCUUGACUGGCGAAGUGUCACCGGCGCAGCGGGGAGGAGAUGCCUUCGUUGGUGAGGGACUGUGGGCUGGCUGGUGGUGGAGGUUAAUUAGUUUAGCGUUCUGUUGCAAACUAGGUAUCUUUUGUCUCCGCUUUGAUGCUCCGGGUGCUGGUAAUUUACUUAGCGUCGGCGUGCAACAGCAGAUGUCUGUGGCUUGCUUUUGAUGAUCCCAGCUUGUGAUUCGCUUAGCGUCUGUAUGUGAAGUUGAGUCUCGCCACUCCGUGGUUGUCUAUCUCGGCGGGAAGAGCGGCGAUCAUCGGAGACUGGGGUGCUGGGUGUCAUCUUUUCAUGGCGUGUCCACUACACUAGACAUUUUGUCCCUAAAAAAGGUGGAACAAUCUGCCAAUGGAACUAGUAUGAAUUGACUUGAUUCUUUUUGUCAACCAGAAAAUUGAGAAAAAAGUCAAAACUGUCUUAAAAUAAGGACAGUAAGAUAUUUUCACUCCAAAUAAGAUAAAUUCACUCGGUAAAAUGUUUUGUUUUUGUAUAGUUAAAAAAGGUCUCACUGAAAAACUGAAACAGCCCAAAGCACCUCAAGCACAAGGUAAAACAAAUCUAAUAUUUGAGUCAAGUCGUUAAUGUCUUUGGAUUAUUUAUAAAGUUAUUUUCAUAUGAACAUCUUGGCUAAGUAUUACUUUGCUGUCAAUGUGAAAGCAGUUACUGUAUCCGCUAUGGAGGUAGCUAAUUUGUUUAACUGUAUACAGCGGCUGAAAUAAGUAUUUAACACGUCACCAUUUUUCUCACUAAAUAUACUUCCAAAGGUGCCAUUGAAUUGAAAAUUUCACCAGAUGUUGGGAACAACCCAAGGAAUCCAUACAUACAAAGAAAGUAGACCAAAUAAGAUCAGAAAUUAAGUUGUGUGUAAAAAUGAAAAAUGACAGGGGAAAAAGUGUUCAACAGAGAAAGGGAGGUGCAAAAAGGCAUGGAAAGCCAAGACAACACUAAAAUCUAUCAGCUGCAAAUAAAUAUCAGCUGGUUCAGCCCUAUUUGAUGGCCGACAAAAAGGUCUCAUUGUCAAGGUGUGAGGCAAGCCACAUCUCAUGAUGGGUAAGAGCAGAGAGCUGUGUCAAGACCAUCGCAAACUAAUUGUUGCAAAACAUAACGAUGGCAUUGGUUACAAGCGCACAUCUAAGCUGCUGAACGUUUCAGUGAGCACGGUUGGGGCCAUAAUACGUAAGUGGAAAGCCAAUCAUACCACCAUAAAUUUGCCUUGAUCAGGUGCUUCUCACAAGAUUUCUGACAGAGGAGUGCAAAGAAUAAUCAUAAGAGUUGUCCAAGAGCCAAGGACCACCUGUGGAGAGCUUCAAAAGCGGGUACUGUUUUCACAAGGAAAACACAGAGUAAUGCACUCCGCUGCAUGGCCUGUAUGCACGCUCACCACGCAAGACCCCAUUGCUGAAAAGAAAGCAUGUCAUAGCUCAUUAACAGUUUGCCGAACAACAUUUCGGCAAGCCAGUUAAACACUGGGAGAAUAUAGUCUUGACGGAUGACAGCAAAAUUGAACUGUUUGGAUGCCAAGGAGGCGGUACGGUGGCCAGCUGGUUAGAGCGUCAGCCUCACAGUUCUGAGGACCCGGCUUCAAUCCCCAGCCCCGCCUGUGUGGAGUUUGCAUGUUCUCCCCGUGCCUGUGUGGGUUUUCUCCGGGCACUCCGGUUUCCUCCCACAUCCCAAAAACAUGCAUGAAUUGGAGACUCUAAAUUGCCCGUAGGUGUGAACGUGAGUGCGAAUGGUUGUUUGUUUGUAUGUGCCCUGCGAUUGGCUGGCAACCAGUUCAGGGUGUACCCCGCCUCCUGCCCGAUGACAGCUGGGAUAGGCUCCGGCACGCCCGCGACCCUAGUGAGGAGAAGCGGCUCAGAAAAUGGAUGGACUUAAUUUCUGAUCUUAUUUGUUCUACUUUCUUUGUAUGUAUGGAUUACUUGGGUUGUUCCCAACAUCUGAGCUACUGCCAAAGAUUGCUUGGAGAGUUCCUACUUCAAGGAGAAACCUCUACCUUGCGAGCCCGAGCUGAUGCCGACCUUCCCUCACCAUCGCAACAAACGUGCUUCUUUUCAGCCAGAGAGCCACUUGAAAUGCAG